rnacentral:rRNA from 1 species
UUCCGGUUGAUCCUGCCGGACCUGACUGCUAUCGGAUUGGUACUAAGCCAUGUGAGUCAUUGUAGCAACAAGGCAGACGGCUCAGUAACACGUAGUCAACCUACCCUAUGGACGAGAAUAACCUCGGGAAACUGAGGAUAAUUCUCGAUAGAUCAUAACUCCUGGAACGGUUUAUGGUAAAAAUGAUUCGUCGCCGUAGGAUGGGACUGCGGCCUAUCAGCUUGUUGGUGAGGUAAUGGCCCACCAAGGCUAUUACAGGUACGGGCUCUGAGAGGAGAAGCCCGGAGAUGGGUACUGAGACACGGACCCAGGCCCUAUGGGGCGCAGCAGGCGAGAAACCUUUGCAAUGUGCGCAAGCACGACAAGGUUAAUCCGAGUGUUUCCUGCUAAAGGAAUCUUUUGUUAGUCGUAAAACCACUGAUGAAUAAGGGGUGGGCAAGUUCUGGUGUCAGCCGCCGCGGUAAAACCAGCACCUCAAGUGGUCAGGAGGAUUAUUGGGCCUAAAGCAUCCGUAGCCGGCUCUGCAAGUUUUCGGUUAAAUCCACUUGCUCAACAAAUGGGCUGCCGAAAAUACUACAUAGCUAGGGAGUGGGAGAGGUAGACGGUAUUCGGUAGGAAGGGGUAAAAUCCUUUGAUCUAUUGAGGACCACCUAUGGCGAAGGCAGUCUACCAGAACACGUUCGACGGUGAGGGAUGAAAGCUGGGGGAGCAAACCGGAUUAGAUACCCGGGUAGUCCCAGCUGUAAACGAUGCAGACUCGGUGAUGCACUGGCUUGUGGCCAGUGCAGUGCCGCAGGGAAGCCGUUAAGUUUGCCGCCUGGGAAGUACGUACGCAAGUAUGAAACUUAAAGGAAUUGGCGGGGGAGCACCACAAGGGGUGAAGCCUGCGGUUCAAUUGGAUUCAACGCCGGA